UGUUUCGAAGAACGCGUCCCAGGGAGGCAAUUCAUUCCUCCUUUUAAAUAUUCUAUACGUGUCUAGAGCCUUCUCUCAAGUAGAAUAAGAAAUCUGCAGGUUGUAUCUGGAGAUUUGAGUUUCUGGAUUUUUCUCUGUGUUUGAUUUGGUAUAGUGGAAAAGAAGGAAGAUGUUUGGGAGAGCACCUAAGAAGAGUGAUAACAGCCGCUACUAUGAGAUAUUGGGUGUUUCGAAGAACGCGUCCCAGGAUGAUUUGAAGAAGGCUUAUAAGAAGGCCGCUAUGAAGAACCAUCCUGAUAAGGGAGGCGAUCCGGAGAAGUUCAAGGAACUGGCCCAGGCUUAUGAAGUUUUGAGCGAUCCAGAGAAACGUGAGAUCUAUGAUACAUACGGUGAGGAUGCUCUUAAGGAAGGAAUGGGUGGUGGCGGUGGUGGCCAUAACCCUUUUGACAUUUUUGAGUCCUUUGGUGGGAGUCCAUUUGGAGGUGGCAGUAGCCGAGGAAGGAGGCAGAGACGCGGAGAGGAUGUUGUUCAUCCAUUGAAGGUCUCUUUGGAGGAUCUAUAUCUUGGUACAGCUAAGAAGCUUUCUCUAUCCCGCAAUGUUAUAUGCUCAAAGUGCAAGGGAAAGGGAUCAAAAUCAGGAGCUUCAAUGAAGUGCCCUGGUUGUCAGGGCUCUGGUAUGAAGGUUUCAAUAAGGCAGCUUGGCCCAUCAAUGAUUCAGCAGAUGCAGCAUCCUUGCAAUGAAUGUAAGGGUACUGGUGAGUCAAUUAGUGAGAAGGAUAAAUGCGUGCAAUGCAAGGGUGAGAAAGUUGUUCCAGAGAAGAAGGUGUUGGAAGUCAUAGUGGAAAAGGGCAUGCGUCAUGGGCAGAAAAUUACAUUCCCUGGUGAAGCUGAUGAAGCGGUAUGUUGCAGACUUGAUGUCUUUUUGAGUAUACUGGAUUAAAUUUGUUUGUUUUGUUGUUGUGUUUCGUAGACUGAUACGAUCACUGGAGAUAUAGUUUUUGUCCUUCAGCAAAAGGAACAUCAAAAAUUCAAGAGAAAGGGGGAUGACCUUAUUGUUGAGCAAAUUCUAUCCCUCACCGAAGCUCUUUGUGGGUAUCAGUUUGUAUUGACACACUUGGAUGGGAGACAGCUUCUCAUAAAAUCAAACACUGGGGAAGUUGUCAAGCCUGAUUCAUACAAGGCAAUUAAUGAUGAGGGUAUGCCCAUGUACCAAAGGCCAUUCAUGAAGGGGAAGCUAUAUAUUCAUUUUACUGUGGAAUUUCCUGAUUCUUUGACUCCAGAUCAAGUUAAAGCACUAGAGGCAAUUUUGCCUCCAAGGCCAUUGAGUCAGCUGACGGAUAUGGACCUGGAUGAAUGUGAGGAGACCACCCUACGUGAUGUUAAUAUGGAGGAGGAAAUGAGAAGGAAGCAGCAGGGCCAUGCUCAUCAGGAUGCAUAUGAGGAGCAUGAGGAGAUGCCUAGCGGCGGACAAAGGGUUCAAUGCGCCCAGCAGUGAUAGAAUUGAAUCCAGUGUUGAAAUACAGGGCUAAUUUCUAAGUAAUUGUAAUCCACUCGUGAAACACGUGAUAAUCAGAAAUUUUCAGGAAAUGAGUAAAUGGCAUAUUUUUCUGGAUGGUUCCCUUUCAUUUUGUGGUUUCCAAUUGGAUUAUUUAUUAUUUCUUGAAGAAGAAAACCCCAUAACUGCUGAGUUGGUUCUUUAGGGUAGAUUUCAUGUUGUGUUUCUUUGUGUAGGUUACAUUCUAUGCUUUGAUGAAUUUGAUCAGCUUCGAAUGUGGCAGCUUCGAUUUGAGAAAAAUCAGCUUUUUAGUCUGAUUUUUUAAUAGUUUGAUUUGGUUUUAAUUUUAUUUUUUAAAAAAUUAAUUAUUUGAUACGAUUUAAUUAAUUAAAUAAAAAAAAAAUUAAUCGAAUCAAUCUCUAUUAAUAUGACAUUAUUUUUACACUUCUCUUACUUCAGGUAUUUAAGUUUUUUCAUUUUUACCUUCUCUCAUUUUAUCGCGUGGCCGUUCAUAUCCCCUCCCACCCUCUCCCUCCUCUCUUUUUUUUUCUGCCUAUCUCUCAUUUCAUUGCAUGAUAGUCCCACGCCACUCUCCUUUCUUCUUUUUCUUUUUCAGUUCCUCUCCCUGCCUAUCUUCCUCAGUUAAUCUUUCCUUUGAGCUAGAAUCGCACAGCUUCAUUGGUCGUGCCUUCUGUUUUAGCAAGGACUCUGUUGCAGUUUCUCUUGGAGGAAAAGAUGUGCUUUGCUUGGAUUUUCCACCUUGAUUUGCUGCUUUGUACCAUUUAGAUCUGGUGAUCAGCAAUCUUGUGUUCAUGAGCUCUUCGCUUUUUCAUUUGCUUGAAUUCUUCCGAUACAUCUGAGUUUGAUUUGAAGCUUGCAUAUUAUUUUAGGCUUGCAUAUUUGUUGAGAUUGAAAUGUAUUUGAUGCAUUUGUGUUAAUUGAAACAAUUUUAAUUUUUAUUUUCAUUCUGUGUUUUUGAGUUUGCAUUGAUGAAUUGAGAAAUUUUUUUUUUUUUUUAGGUUUUGGGUGGAGUUUGGCUCUACUACUAUGCACCGGAAGUGUCACGAAACCGAUCAUACUAAAUCGUGUCAAACUAAUUUUUUUGAGUUCGGUUUGAUACGGUUUUACUAUUACUUUAGUUCGAUCUCGGUUCAUAAAAAUAUUAUUUUUAGUAAUUCGAUUUUUAAACUUCAGUUCAGAAUCGAACUAAUCUGUAAUCUUAUCAAUUUAUUCUAAAUUUCACUUAUUUUACAAGUAUUGAUAUUAUAUUUAAUUAAAAAAAAUGUUUCUUAAUAUAUUGAGAUAAUUUCAAGUUAAU
rnacentral:misc_RNA from 1 species